ensembl:snRNA U6 U6 spliceosomal RNA
GUGCUCGCUUCAGCAGCACAUACACUAAACUUGGAAUGAGACAGAGAAGAAUAGCAUGGCCCCUCAUCAAGAAUGACCCCCAAGUUUGUGAAGCGUUUCGUGUUUUC